rnacentral:rRNA from 1 species
UACAGAGGGUGCAAGCGUUACUCGGAAUUACUGGGCGUAAAGCGCACGUAGGCGGCUUGGUAUGUCGGGUGUGAAAUCCCCGGGCUCAACCUGGGAACUGCAUCCGAAACUGCCUUGCUCGAGUAUGGGAGAGGGAAGCGGAAUUUCCGGUGUAGCGGUGAAAUGCGUAGAGAUCGGAAGGAACAUCAGUGGCGAAGGCGGCUUCCUGGACAAAGACUGACGGUCAGGUGCGAAAGCGUGGGGAGCAAACAGG